CAUGGCAGCAUGGCUUAGGCUUGCAAAGCUGCAUCUGAACAAGCCACAUGGCUUCUGGAACAAUAACAGACUAGAACAUGAUCAA